rnacentral:lncRNA from 1 species
CUAAUUCACAAAUUUAAAAUCAUCCGCCCCUAAAUUGUCAAAAAGUCCAAAAGAGAAAGGGUAUUCCAUUUUCAUAGGGAAGGAGAACGGAGAAUCCUUCAUCCUCCCUUAUAACAGAGAUAAAAGACCCAUAUAGCUGCUCUUUUUUUUAUUAAUAAUAUUUAUUUAAUUUUUAUUUUGUAUUGAUGUUGUUGAGAUUAAAUUGGUGACGUAUACGGAAUGAGACUACACAAUAAUUAGUUAGAAUCUGUAAGGAAGAAAAUGUGAGGCGCUGGUGGGUGCUCACAGUAGCCAUUCCGACACUUAAAUCAGUAUUUUGAAUAAUAGAGAGAAUGCAAUGAAUUACUUAAAGUUUGAGUAACAUUAGAGAAUAGUAUAUAUUUAUCUCUGUGAUCUUUCUUUUUUUAUAUUAUAAGAGGGUGGUGAUGAAUAUAAAAUUUUUCGAUAAUCCUGAUACGGAUCCAAU